CCAAUAUAGAGGAAUGCUAGGGCGGUGAGGUAGGAGUGGAACACAGGAGAUAUUUUUAUAUAUUAAAUGUAUAAUGGAUGGAAGACAUCAUCAUGGAUUGUACCUCCUUGGAACUCAUUACAUUUUGGAAUCAUUGACACUGUGAAGUGGGGCAUGUUGGUCUAACCUGACCUUGUCACGGAGUAACUCUGGAGUGAGUUCAGCCUAUCCAGAAUUUUUGGAGUCAUCUACACAGUGGAAGCAAGACAGGUGGGCUGUGUCAGGUCUAAUGGCUUUACAAAAGCCCGAUGCUCCUACCUUAAUGCAGUCCUUUUGCUGCACCAGCUAGAAUGACUGCAUUCUCAAAGUGCCUCCUGUGGAACAACUGGCAUCUUUCUCAAAGUGGAUCUUCAUAGGGGUCAUGAGAAGACACUAGAUUCCUUGGAACUCAAGUUACAGUUGGUGGUGAGCUGCCAUGUGAGUACUGAGAAUCAAACCUGGGUCCCUUGCAAGAAAAAAAA